ACGGGUGAGGAACGCGUAGGAACCUGCCCUAAAGAGGGGGACAACCCGAGGAAACUCGGGCUAAUACCGCAUAAUCUCGGAAGAGAAAAGUCUGGGUAGCAAUACCUGGAGCUUUAGGAGGGGCCUGCGUCCGAUUAGCUAGUUGGUGUGGUAAAGGCGCACCAAGGCGAUGAUCGGUAGCUGGUCUGAGAGGAUGAUCAGCCACACUGGGACUGAGACACGGCCCAGACUCCUACGGGAGGCAGCAGUGGGGAAUAUUGGACAAUGGGGGCAACCCUGAUCCAGCAAUGCCGCGUGUGUGAAGACGGCCUUCGGGUUGUAAAGCACUUUAGGCUGGGAGGAAGGUUAUUUGUUUAAGAGAUGAGUAGCUUGACUGUACCAGCAGAAUAAGCACCGGCUAACUCUGUGCCAGCAGCCGCGGUAAUACAGAGGGUGCAAGCGUUAAUCGGAAUUACUGGGCGUAAAGGGCGCGUAGGUGGUUGAUAAAGUUGGAUGUGAAAUCCCUGGGCUUAACCUAGGAACUGCAUACAAAACUAAUUGACUAGAGUACUGUAGAGGGUAGUGGAAUUUCCGGUG
rnacentral:rRNA from 1 species